UACGGAGGGGGCUAGCGUUGUUCGGAAUUACUGGGCGUAAAGCGCACGUAGGCGGCUUUGCAAGUUAGAGGUGAAAGCCCGGGGCUCAACUCCGGAAUUGCCUUUAAAACUGCAUCGCUAGAAUUGUGGAGAGGUAAGUGGAAUUCCGAGUGUAGAGGUGAAAUUCGUAGAUAUUCGGAAGAACACCAGUGGCGAAGGCGACUUACUGGACACGUAGUGACGCUGAGGUGCGAAAGCGUGGGGAGCAAACAGG
rnacentral:rRNA from 1 species